rnacentral:rRNA from 1 species
UACGUAGGGGGCUAGCGUUGUCCGGAUUUAUUGGGCGUAAAGAGCGUGUAGGCGGCCAGGUAGGUCUGCUGUGAAAACUCGAGGCUCAACCUCGAGACGUCGGCGGAAACCAUCUGGCUAGAGUCCGGAAGAGGAGAGUGGAAUUCCUGGUGUAGCGGUGAAAUGCGCAGAUAUCGGGAAGAACACCUAUGGCGAAGGCAGCUCUCUGGGACGGUACUGACGCUGAGACGCGAAAGCGUGGGGAGCGAACAGG